UACGUAGGUGGCAAGCGUUAUCCGGAAUUACUGGGUGUAAAGGGCGCGCAGGCGGCCCUGCAAGUCGGAUGUGAAAGAUCAAGGCUCAACCUUGACAGGCCAUUCGAAACUGUGGGACUUGAGUGUCAGAGGGGAAAGUGGAAUUCCUAGUGGAGCGGUAAAAUGCGCAGAGAUCAGGAGGAAUACCGAAGGCGAAGGCAGUCUUCCAAGCCGUUAUUGACGCUCAACUGCGAAGGUGUGGGUAUCAAACAGGAUUAGAUACCCCGGUAGU
rnacentral:rRNA from 1 species